CGAGACGUAAGAUGUUGUUGCCAUGGCGCCGCAUUGUUUGGCUGCCUCUCUGGUAACUCCGUCAAAACCGUGCAAUUUUUUCAUCUUUUAAAUCUAUUUAGUCCAUAUGAAGUCAACAUUUCGGACAGAUAUGAUGAUGUGUUUAUAGAAAGCACUUUUUAGUGCUAUUUAUUGCCGUCUGCCUUUUUUUAUUUAUUUCUUAAUCCAAAUCGAUGUUGUCGGAUCACCGCAGCGCAACGGAACUCCAUGGAGAUCAGAAUGCGCAUAGCCUACCAACCGGCCUGGCAGAGAAACAAUGUCAUCCCGACAAGCCUUGCACUACUGACUACAAGAGGUCACGGACACCAGAUGAAUGGGGACCAUCACAGUGUUGCCUAUAGCGUGAGAUUAACGGUAUGAUCUCCACAAUUCCACUCGUCUCACCUCAGUCAGAGCCUGGGCUUCUUAUCUCUACAUCAAGAUCACAUUAAAAGCACAUGAUUCCUGGA